rnacentral:rRNA from 1 species
AAGGAAUUGACGGGGGCCCGCACAAGCGGUGGAGCAUGUGGUUUAAUUCGAAGCAACGCGAAGAACCUUACCAGGCCUUGACAUGCUAGGGAACCUGGGUGAAAGCCUGGGGUGCCCCGCGAGGGGAGCCCUAGCACAGGUGCUGCAUGGCCGUCGUCAGCUCGUGUCGUGAGAUGUUGGGUUAAGUCCCGCAACGAGCGCAACCCUUGCCGUUAGUUGCCAGCGGGUGAAGCCGGGCACUCUAACGGGACUGCCUGCGAAAGCAGGAGGAAGGCGGGGACGACGUCUGGUCAUCAUGGCCCUUACGGCCUGGGCGACACACGUGCUACAAUGCCCACUACAAAGCGAGGCGACCUGGCGACAAGGGAGCGAAUCGCAAAAAGGUGGGCGUAGUUCGGAUUGGGGUCUGCAACCCGACCCCAUGAAGCCGGAAUCGCUAGUAAUCGCGGAUCAGCCAUGCCGCGGUAAUACGUUCU